GGUUUCAUAACUCAGCUGGUAGAGCGCUUGCUGCGUUGAGGCACGCUGUUUCUAUCGCUGGUUCGAAUCCAGCCGAAACCC
rnacentral:tRNA from 1 species